GGCUCUGAAUGGUGCAGUUAAUGUGUUAGGCUGCUAACCAAAAGAUUGGAGGUUCAAGUCCUUCCAGAGGCA
rnacentral:tRNA from 1 species